rnacentral:rRNA from 1 species
AUUGAACGCUGGCGGCAGGCCUAACACAUGCAAGUCGAGCGGGGUUUUCGGACCUAGCGGCGGACGGGUGAGUAAUGCGUAGGAAGCUACCCGAUAGAGGGGGAUACCAGUUGGAAAUGACUGUUAAUACCGCAUAAUGUCUACGGACCAAAGUGUGGGACCUUCGGGCCACAUGCUAUCGGAUGCGCCUACGUGGGAUUAGCUAGUUGGUGGGGUAAUGGCUCACCAAGGCGACGAUCCCUAGCUGGUUUGAGAGGAUGAUCAGCCACACUGGAACUGAGACACGGUCCAGACUCCUACGGGAGGCAGCAGUGGGGAAUAUUGGAAAAUGGGCGCAAGCCUGAUCAAGCCAUGCCGCGUGUGUGAAGAAGGCCUUCGGGUUGUAAAGCACUUUAAGCGAGGAGGAGGCUACUUUAGUUAAUACCUAGAGAUAGUGGACGUUACUCGCAGAAUAAGCACCGGCUAACUCUGUGCAAGCCGCCGCGGUAA